AGCAGCCGCGGUAAUUCCAGCUCCAAUAGCGUAUAUUAAAGUUGUUGCAGUUAAAAAGCUCGUAGUUGAAUUUCGGGGUUAGUAGGUUGGUCAUGCCUCUGGUAUGUACUGGUCUCACUGAUUCCUCCUUCCUGAUGAGCCGUAAUGCCAUUAAUUUGGUGUUGCGGGGAAUUUGGACUGUUACUUUGAAAAAUUAGAGUGUCUAAAGCAAGCUAACGCUUGAAUACAUUAGCAUGGAAUAAUGAAAUAGGACGUUCGAUCCUAUUUUGUUGGUUUCUAGGAUUGACGUAAUGAUUAAUAGGGAUAGUUGGGGGCAUUAGUAUUCAAUUGUCAGAGGUGAAAUUCUUGGAUUUAUUGAAGACUAACUACUGCGAAAGCAUUUGCCAAGGAUGUUUUCAUUAAUCAAGAACGAAAGUUAGGGGAUCGAAGACGAUCAGAUACCGUCGUAGUCUUAACCAUAAACUAUGCCGACUAGGGAUCGGAUGAUGUUAAUUUUUAAUGUACUCA
rnacentral:rRNA from 1 species